GUUCAAACGUGGCAUAGUGGUUUGAGUGUUAGACUAUGGCUCUUGAGAUCAGGGUUUGAUUCCCAGCUUGGCCA